rnacentral:rRNA from 1 species
UACAGAGGUCUCAAGCGGUGUUCGGAUUCCUUGGGCGUAAAGGGUGCGUAGGCGGCGCGGUAAGUCGGGUGUGAAAUCUCGGAGCUUAACUCCGAAACUGCAUUCGAUACUGCCGUGCUUGAGGACUGGAGAGGAGACUGGAAUUUACGGUGUAGCGGUGAAAUGCGUAGAUAUCGUAAGGAAGACCAGUGGCGAAGGCGGGUCUCUGGACAGUUCCUGACGCUGAGGCACGAAGGCCAGGGGAGCAAACGGG